CCUCAACUCUCAUGCCAAGGUAGUAAAUAGAGUUAGAGUUCUAGAGCAUUUCACACAGAAAGAAUUUCUCCGGUAUGGCCUGCAUGCCUCUGGUGAGUGGCUUUAUGCCAAAGUCGACCUUGGUCCUCCGCAUGGCUAGUACCAGGCUUUGCCUACAGCGGAAAACUUUGAUCAUGGCGGUCAAUAUUCCCAUAGCUAGACGUGGAGCUGAGGUCAGUCACGGGGGCGGUGGCAAAAUCAAUCAAACACGCAAAUCCAUGGACGCGGUUCGUAUGGCAGAGGAGAAGCUCUCUCUUGGCGGCUUCAACAGUGUGAAAGAAAACAAGAAACAAAGCAAGGAAAAAGUAGACGAUGGCAUCACAGUAAACACCGAAACCAGUGGUUGAUGGUUGCAAUCAGCAGCAGUAAGCACCGAAACCAGCCAGUGUGUUUCUGUCCUGGGUGCUCUGAACUGCCUUCCAAGAAGCAAAAUAAGCUAGCCUGGUAGAGUGAGGACCUUAUAAUUAGUAGUACUGUACACGCAGUGUUUGUUUAUGUUGGUCUGAGAAUGACAAGAUACGUAUGUGGGUUUGGAUAGCAAAAGUUAUGGCUAUGCCGUAUGUAGUAUCUAGGCUUUGACGCAAGUAGUGAGAGGAAAAAUAAUAAGGUAUCUAACUUAUUAUUGCCGUAUUUAAAAACGUGGUUGUACUAAUGUUUCUUAAAUAUUUGAAAUGUUAUUUUUAUUUAAA